GGAUUAGAUACCCUGGUAGUCCACGCCGUAAACGAUGGGUGCUAGGUGUUAGGGGUUUCGAUGCCCGUAGUGCCGAAGUUAACACAUUAAGCACUCCGCCUGGGGAGUACGGCCGCAAGGCUGAAACUCAAAGGAAUUGACGGGGGCCCGCACAAGCAGUGGAGCAUGUGGUUUAAUUCGAAGCAACGCGAAGAACCUUACCAGGUCUUGACAUCCUUUGACCACUCUGGAGACAGAGCUUCCCCUUCGGGGGCAAAGUGACAGGUGGUGCAUGGUUGUCGUCAGCUCGUGUCGUGAGAUGUUGGGUUAAGUCCCGCAACGAGCGCAACCCUUGACCUUAGUUGCCAGCAUUUAGUUGGGCACUCUAAGGUGACUGCCGGUGACAAACCGGAGGAAGGUGGGGAUGACGUCAAAUCAUCAUGCCCCUUAUGACCUGGGCUACACACGUGCUACAAUGGAUGGUACAAAGGGUUGCGAAGCCGCGAGGUGAAGCCAAUCCCAUAAAGCCAUUCUCAGUUCGGAUUGUAGGCUGCAACUCGCCUGCAUGAAGCUGGAAUUGCUAGUAAUCGCGGAUCAGCAUGCCGCGGUGAAUACGUUCCCGGGCCUUGUACACACCGCCCGUCACACCACGAGAGUUUGUAACACCCGAAGUCGGUGAGGUAACCUUUUGGAGCCAGCCGCCGAAGGUGGGACAGAUGAUUGGGGUGAAGUCGUAACAAGGUAGC
rnacentral:rRNA from 1 species